GACAGAGGGGGCAAGCGUUGCUCGGAAUCACUGGGCGUAAAGGGCGCGUAGGCGGGACGCCAAGUCGGUCGUGAAAUCUCCGGGCUCAACCCGGAGGAGUCGGCCGAAACUGGUGUUCUUGAGGGAGGCAGAGGAGUCUGGAAUUCCCGGUGUAGCGGUGAAAUGCGUAGAGAUCGGCAGGAACACCCAGGGGGAAACCAGUCGACUGGGCAUCUACUGACGCUGAGGUGCGAGAGCGUGGGGAGCGAACCGG
rnacentral:rRNA from 1 species